rnacentral:tRNA from 1 species
GCCCGGAUGGCAGAGCGGUUAAUGCACAUGCUUGGAGAGCAUGACCCUUCGGGGUGGCCAGGUUCGACUCCUGGUCCGGGCG